ensembl:snRNA U1 U1 spliceosomal RNA
AUACUUACCUAGCAGGGGAGACACCAUGAUCAAAAAGGCAGUUCACCCAGGGCGAGGCUCGUCCAUUGCACUCCGGCCGUGCUGACCCCUGCGAAUUCGUCAAAUGUGGGAAUCUCGACUGCAUAAUUUAUGGUAGUGGGGGACUGCAUUUGCACUCUCCCC